rnacentral:rRNA from 1 species
AGCAGCCGCGGUAAUUCCAGCUCCAAUAGCGUAUAUUAAAGUUGUUGCGGUUAAAAAGCUCGUAGUUGAAUUUCGGGAUCAGUACGCCGGUCGUGCCUCCGGUAUGUACUGGUGUCACUGAUUCCUCCCUUCUGAAGAACCAUCAUGCCAUUCACUUGGUGUGGUGGGGAAUCAGGACUGUUACUUUGAAAAAUUAGAGUGUUUAAAGCAGGCUCGCGCUUGAAUACAUUAGCAUGGAAUAAUGAAAUAGGACGUUUAUCCUAUUUUGUUGGUUUCUAGGAUUGACGUAAUGAUUAAUAGGGAUAGUUGGGGGCAUUAGUAUUCAAUUGUCAGAGGUGAAAUUCUUGGAUUUAUUGAAGACUAACUACUGCGAAAGCAUUUGCCAAGGAUGUUUUCAUUAAUCAAGAACGAAAGUUAGGGGAUCGAAGACGAUCAGAUACCGUCGUAGUCUUAACCAUAAACUAUGCCGACUAGGGAUCGGAUGAUGUUAAUUUUUAAUGACUCAUUCGGCGCCUUAAC